CAAACAUGAAGGUGGAACAGGUAUCCACCACCUAGUGAAAACUAUAGGAGAUGCAGAUUACCACCUGCCAUGUUUA
rnacentral:ncRNA from 1 species